AAACUCUUAAAACACGAUUAUACAUAUCCUAAAGGUGGUUGGUUGCAUUUAUUUACAUGCGAUAAAACACAAGAACCGAUAGAAAUUCACGCUGGCCGCUCGUAAUACAUGCAGCCAAGAUGCACAUUGCUCCAUUGCCCGCCUGUAUUUUAAGUGUCUCCAGGGCUAAAUGUUGUCGGCCACAGAUACUUCCUAUGGGUCCGUGUGGCCAGGCAAAAAGUACUAUAUAUUUAUUUAGAAAAUUAAGUGUGAAUAGUCAAUUUAGAUCUAACUUCCCAAACGUCCCAAAUAAAAUAUAAAAAAGUGCAUGUUUAGCCUUUAUUUAAUAAACUCCCUAAUGUGGUAGGGGGUAAUUUUGCACAUGGAAACUUGUUAUAACAGUAAAAGGAGUUGGGCAUUCUGUGGGCCAAGCUAACCUAGUCCACGUAGAGUUGUUCAAGGUGCGUUGAUUGUGUGAGGUUUGCCCAUCUUGUGUUCGGUUUGUAAUGACCUGGCUAGGAAAUGCUAGAAAAGAAGCAGUUUCACAAAAGAUUGAUUGUGAACGCUGCGAGCAGGGUUCGAACCUGCGCGGGGAGACCCCAUUGGAUUUCAAGUCCAACGCCUUAACCACUCGGCCAUCGCAGCUGACAGAGAUACUACAGCCACACAGGGUAUUAAUAGCUGAGCAACACCCGUUGGUACGGACGUUUGAGGUAUGCAGUGUAGUAUGCAAAACACACGCUUCGCUCGCGAAACUAUGGUGUCAAUUCAUUGCCUGAUGUAUUGUAGUACAUUAGGUAGCUCAUUGGCUACCGACUAAUCCCAAUUCUUAUGUCAACAUACCAGUUUCAAAGGGCCACUGUUUCGGAUGCCAUAACAUAAAAGGCAGAAAUACUGAGCAUGCUACGACAAGGCGUGGAUGUCUACAACUUCUUAAAGAUGCAGGCCCCAAAGACUGUGACGUACCCGGUGUGAUGCAAAGGCUUUCUGGGCAGGCUCACAGACAUCUGUUAACUGAAAGAGAAGUCUUUAAAAUAGUUGUCCAUUUUGACCACGACUGCAUUGACAACAUGCCCCGGGCACACUGUCUGAUUCCCAUUUCUCAGUGCCUGCACAAAAACAGUGACUUUUCCAUCAGCUCACCUCAAGUCUUUUGAGGAGUUUUAAAAACAGUUGUUUUAAUUUCUCUAAAGCGUGGUGCAGAAUUUCACAGAAUCUAAUGGACUUGAUUCUGUGUUUCAAAGAUCUUUGCAAAACCCUCAAACAGUCUUUGGUACAAAACAUAUUUAAUGGUCAAACAUUAAAAAGUGAAGUUUUAUAAAAUACCAGUGGUGAUUAUUAGCCAUUUAUUUUCUUGGGGGAGGGGGGGGCAGUAUUUUGUAAGGCAGAUGAGAUCUGUUCAUAUUGUUAGUUUUUGUUGCAUCCUACUGUGAUGACAAGCAUAGAUCAGUACGGACAUGUAAAUGUCUUGGCCAUCAUUUUCCCAUGUCCCACAAGGGUUGAACAGUAGGGACAGUGGAGACAGGUCUGUGUCAGAGAGAGGACAAGCCACAGAGGGAACAACUCCAACAGUUUCCUGCUCUGCCUGGUUUAAGUUAGACUGUCGUCGAAUGUCCACAGCAUCCUGCAUAUAUAUACACCUUAGAUGAAACUCAGUAGCUGCAUUUUGUGACAGUUAACUUUCUGUGAAUCUGCAAUAUUUAAGGUUGAGAAUAAAAUGGUUUUGGAAGAAAGUUCUGGUACCUCAAAUAAAAAAACAUAAAAAUA